UAAACACAAUUAUUACUAACGAUGAAUACAUCGCGGCUUUCCGUCACGUAUGUAUGUAUACACGAAUUACUCGACCCGGCGAAGUCGCGGCAUCAUUCCGGCGCUACCUUCAAAUCGAGAAACGCGUAUAUAUAGGACGCGGGCCGCGAACAUAAGUGCGGCGCGUCGCUCAGGAAAUGAUUAUCGCCCAACAAUGCCAACCUGUACGCAUGGGUCUAGAAUGCAGCGAACUUUUCACUUAGAUCGACCGGCCGGCGAUACUUGCGGAGGAAGUAGCAAGAGCCUCAACUUGCCCCUUAAGCGACCACCGAUUGCUACUGGAGAGCAUUUUACUCCGAAAUACUUCCGCCGUGCUCUACGAUUACCAGCCUACCGGGCACCGCUGCAUACACGAACGGCAGAAAUAUAGUCAAAUAACGCCGUCACACAAUCGAGAAAGAAGCGUACUGUGAACGGCAUCUUGCAGGAAACAUCAACGACCUUCGAGGACCUUCCACAAGCCAGAGGAAUCGUCCUUGGACGACGCACGACGAAUACGCAAAUUGCCGUGCGACAUUUUCACAUCGAUCGUCCCGUGGUCCCUGGCCGACUCCUGCCCCCCUCAAUGUCAUUCGCAUU